GUGUGUGUGUGUGUGUGUAUAAUUAUUUAUUUUAUUUUAUUAUUAUAAUUAUUUUUGGGUAAUCGGUUGAGUGUAGGAGGUUUUCUUGGAUACGCCUGUUUCCUUUUUUAUUCCAUAGCGAUUUUUAGUUCUUUUUUGCUGAUGUAUCAGAAACAAAAGUUACUCAUUCUUCUGGAACAGCUAGAGGAAGGCUCCUAAUUUCUCAGGUAAAUAGGUUGCAUAAAAGGCUUUUCUGUUUUGAACUCUAAUUUAGCUUCGCUAUUGAAUAAGUCAACUUUACCGUUUAUUCUAUUUUUAUGUAUUGUUGUACGUUUAUUGUAAUUGUAGCCGAUAUAUUUCAUUUUAAUUUGGAAGAAUUGUAAUUAAAUGUUGAAGUUACGAAUUAAGAUUUUAAUGCUUAUAUACCAUGAAUGGUUGUUUGAAAUAUGAAUUUAUUAGUUGCUAAAUUUUGGCUUAUUAUAUUUUUAAUUUGGGGGUGUCAUUUUUAGUUAAAUUUUGAAUUUAUGAAUUGAGUAUUUGUUGUCGUAUGUUUAUUGAUCGAUUAGGCAACAUUAGGAAUUGGUAAUGUGACAGAAAAAAGUUUAGUUCAAUGUAACAUUGGCAAUAAGAGUCCAGUUUUACUCUGCAUAUUACUGCCCAAUAAAAUAGAGUCUUGCUAUUUGGAUUUGGAGUUCGAGGAGACUGAUGAUGUGGUUUUUUGGUGAUUCGUCCAUGAAGUGUUUACCUCCCUAGUUUUUAUGUCAAUCACAGUAAGCAUUUCGAUCCACAUCGCAAUACUUAUCCUUUUUUCCUUAAUCUGUUCAUUUUCAGUGUAGUUUCGUUUUGUUGAGGUGUAAUGUUCUGUCAAUUAGCAUUUCGGUGAUUGAAUCAUUAUGCUUUUCUAUUUUUCGGUAGGCCAAGGAGGGAAGCAAUGAGAGAUUAGAGAAAAGUUAUAUUUGCUCUCCAAACUCUAUAAAUCAUGCCCUUCACAUUAAUUUUGCUUGUAGCAUGAUGUUUCCUUAACACUCCUUUUAUGUCUUGUAAGUUCUUUUAUUUUUUUAACAUCUUAAACCUUCCUCCUCCCAAAGAUUGAAAACAGGGCAAGUUUUUCUAUUUUUCAUGUGUCCAAUGAAUUAGAACACCGAUUGUACAACAAUCUCUGUGAGAUCAUCUUUGGUUUUUAUCUUGAUUCUUUAUUACCUUCACAUCAUGUAUAAUAGAUAUUCGUUUUUAUGGCAUUGUAGUUUAAACCAGAAAAAAUAGAAGCCAUUAUAGAAGAUUUUAAUGAAACAGGAAAACUUACUCCUACAGAGCUAUAUCUUAGUGGAACAAAAUAUAUAGUGAUUCGAGGGGAGCCAGUAGCUGUUAUAAGAGGAAAAAAGGGUAACGAUCUAAUGUAAAAUGUGGUUUUUAUUAUCUAUUGAUAAAUGAUUGGGAAACUUGAUUGGUUUUCAAUUUUUCUUAAAUUUGUUGCUUGCAACAGUUUUUGCAGUCAUUUUGUUUCCAUUCAAGUUCAAUUCCUGCAACUUUUGUUUUCGAUGAUGUUUUUCAUGGCUGUAACAUACAACAAUUUUACUUAAUAAUCUACCAUAAAAAAAUUACAAAAAGGGGAUUCCAAUGGACUCUAUUUUUUAGAAGUCCUGAGAGACAUUAUCAGGUAUUUCAUUUUUCCGCCUUUUGACUUCAAUGCUGAAUAGCCUUUGAAUAUAAUAUGCCUUUUGUACGUUUUCUCUGUGCUUUAACCCUAAUCUCACUCUUUCUCUCUGGAUCGUAACAUAAAAUCCCAAAUAAUCUGACCCCCAUUCACUAGAAAUCAAUUCCUAAUUUGUGUCUUUUUGCAAAACUCUUCACUUCUGAUUCCACAAAUGGAUUAAAAUUUUAUGAUUUUUUUAUUGUUAUUUUUUAUCGAAAUUUUUACUUCUUUCUUGAUAAUUUGAUUUUAUUUUUGUUGCUUCUCUUUUAUGUGAAUAUUCGUGAGGCUUAUAUGAUAGUAAAUUUUCUAAUGAUGAAAUUUUGAUUUGUUUGUGAUUUACAUUGAAUCUCUCUUACUCUUACAAUUUAGUGAUGGCCGAGUAAAUACUUUCCCAUUUGUUCAUCAUUGUUUUCAUGGUACCUUUUCAUCAUGCAUUGUUAAGUGAACAAUAACCAUUUGCCUGCACACAGUAUUCAUAUAUUUUUCAAUUGAUACACCUCUUGAAUGGUGAUAUAGGGAUCUCCUAUGCUAACCACCGCGCUAAAGUAUUUGACACUAAGAUCACUUGGGGCUUGAGCUGUUCUUCUUUAUUUGGCCAUGCAAAGAGUCUGCAACGACCCUAAAACUCCACUCUUUGCCACUGGUAAAUGACUACUCUACACUUUUUUUUUUCCUUCUUUUUCAUUUGUUUAUACAUUCAUGCUUUAUUCUUUCCAUUCAGAAUAAGAAUUUUUUUCCAUAUUAAGCAAUAAUUACAACCCUUUGAAUCUUUUUUUAGCAAACAAUUUGAAUCCCUUGAUUGUAUUCUUGUCAUUUUUAUAAGGAAUUUCUGAAGAAACCUUAAUACUAUAAUCUUCCAAUUAAUAAGGCUAAAAUCUCGCCCAGACAAUUGAAAAAUGGAGGACCCCUAUUGCUAAUUUCCCUCUUACAGAUACAUAGUAAAGCAACUUUUAAGUUCUUGUUUACACAUAUAUAUAGAACAAAAUUUAAAUUUCACAUUUCCUUUAUCAUUACGUUUUGUAUCCAUACUCUAUCCAUUAGACUCUUGAAAGGUUUAGUACGAUAGGACUAAAGAAUAAAAACUGGUUUUGUAGGUAUUUGACCUCUAUGAUUCUCUUAUGCCAUUGCCAACGUGUAGUACUAUUUAUCAUUUCACAGAUUCCUCUGAUACUAUAUUGUUGUUUGUUUACGAAACCGUUAAUGUAAAAUUUUCCUUAAGUGGAAACUGGUUUUGUAGGUUCUUGAUCUCAGCGAUUCUCUCAUGCAAAUUGAUGGAACAAGUUAAUAUAUUUCCUCAAAGUCUUUGGGAUUUGCAGCCCAGUAGACUCCUCAAGAAUGGUUAGUCCGUUAAUAAUGUUUUUCAUUGCUUCAAUCGAAUAUAUUCAUUGACCUUUUGUUACGUGAGUGGACACACAAGUUUUCUGUUACGAG
rnacentral:lncRNA from 1 species